GGUAGCGUGUCCGAGUGGUUAAGGAGUUGGAUUUAAGCACGACACAAUUGCGUGAUGUGUUUCCCAAUAAACGUAUGUUUGCGUGGGUUCGAACCCCACCGCUACCA